CCUUCGGCUCGCUCAUGGAGAGCGAGACGACUGCUAUUCGUCUGUGGAUCGCACGAGUUCUUGUUCGCUCAAGGGA
rnacentral:tRNA from 1 species